ACUUCUCUGGAGCAGCUUUUCUUCAAGUUGCAGGACAAGCACAAUCAGGUUGUCCAGGGACGCCGGCUGAGGGAUCCGGAACAGAUAAUGCCUGAUCUCUUCAUUGAGCCCCUGGCACAGGUGGGCCUGCAGGACUUCAUCUGGCCACCCUAAGGUCCUGCAUCCGGAGGAACAUCGAGAUGACGGAUCCCAUCCUAGUCACAACUUCUUCUGGAGAGUUCUUGGACUGACCUUCCUCUUCAGAAUCUUCAUCUUCCUCCUCCUCUUCAUCUCCCAGGCAUCCUGCUUGGACCUCAAAGAACUUGAGACAGUACCACCGUGUAGCCCACCCACAGCCAGGAGGCAGUCAGCACGCCAUGGACAUUAAAGGCUCUGCUGAUGGUAGCCCAGAGAUAAGAUGGCUGCUUCCUCCCAGGAUGGGAGCAGAUGCCUGGCCCACUAUCAUAGAGAAAGCUUUGGCUCACUGCCCCUUAGGGGGCAGGGGUUCGUGAUUCCUGAGGGAGCCCUGGCCCCUUCCAGGAUGAGUUGUCCUAAGUCACCAUGGAGAACCGGCAGCCCAGACUCAGUGUCCUGCCAGGCAGAAGACCCUUUUGUGUUUCCCGAGACUGACUUCAGAGACCCCCCCUGUCUAGGCAGAGGGCCAUUUCGCCUGCUGCGUGGUGCUGAUUUCUGUCCAAAGUGCUUCCUGCACUUUCAAGGGGACUGUGGGGUGUCAGAGGUAAGUACAGCCUGAAACGCAGGGCUUUAUACCAAAUACAAUCUCAGUGAGCCUCAUUUUUCUCCCUGAAAAUGGAGCCAAUUCUGAGAGCCUCUCAGGGCCACCAGGCAAAUUAGAGACAGGUACACACGCAUCCCCCAGCCUCAUUUCAAACGGAAAAUAGACACGGCAGCCAACAGCUGUUAUUUGAAUUAGCUGUUUUUCCCGGAAACCUCUAAAGGAGUUGGACUGGAUAGACAAGAGAGAGCUGGCUAUCGUCCACAGAACAAAAGACGCCUGGCAGGCCAGGGCCCCUGAGUGAUUUAGCCACCUUUCAACAAGGGUCGCCUACAGACCUGGGGGCUAAGUCCCGGACCCCCACAGGGUGCUGGUCCACUAGAUGGCACUCUCUGCUGUCUGUCCAGGACCAGGACAGACCACUCCCCAAGAUGCUUAGGCUACAUCUGAAAUAUCCGAGCCCAGGUAAUUCUAAAACAUCAUCCUCACAUGCAGUGCAAAGCACAGCGGCUUUUCUCCGCGCAUCCCUCCCAGCCCAGCAGCAGGAACACAGACAGCGAACAUUUCACAACAAUUUGAGACCAAAACACUAGACUGCCCACCCCUCUUUUAAUUCCCAGCCCAGCUACAUCUGAUUGCUCAUUAUUUUACAGAUGAGGGGAUGAGAAGGGGUCAAGCAUUUUCUCAAGAUCUGCUAGUUAGCAGAACCGGGGCUGCAGCCCAGGUUUGUCUAAUUCCUUUGCAAAAUAGAGAUGGGGGAAGGAUGGAGGGUCAUUCUGAUGGAUAGGUUUCUGCGUGAGGAGGCAUGAGCUAUGCAGUUAGGCAGCUGUAUGGAUGAUAAAUGCCGGAGACAUGGUACAUGGCUAAGCAAUGGUCAGCAAGCUUCCCUGUGGAUGGGAGACAGAGAGAUGGGUAAAAUAAAGUAAAUAGACAGUUUCUCACCAAGAUCAAAGGCUUCCUGGCUCUUCCAAAAGGUUUUUUUCCUAGUUAACUGCUAAGAAUACUGUUGCCUUCUGCUCACUUUCUGACUGUAUCGAUUAUCUCAGGUGUUUCUGAGAUAACAGGUGUCCGGUUGACCCGGUCACAAGGACCCAGUCCCAGGUCUGGCUCUGCAGCAGCUCUCUGGCAGCUCUCCGUCUCUCUCUGCUGCUCUCACGUGUGUACUGAGGAACUGCAGGCUGCUGCCUCUCCACAGCUCUCCUGGAUGACUAAGCCCAGAGCCCUGGCCUCUCGCUCAGCCCUCCUCUUGAACUUCGUGUUCUUUUAUUAUGCUAGAUCAUCACAGCCUCCCUCCAUGAUGGUAUUUUCCACUGUCAAUCAAAAGGGGGACGAAACUGAGGCUUAGAGAUGAUAAAAGACUGUCCCCAACGUCAUACAGGGGGCUGAUGCAGACCCAGCCUGCUUUUUUUCCUCUAAACCCACACUGUGACAGAUUUCUUUCCUCUAUGGCCAUGCCUGAAAAAAAAAUCUGUGUUCCUUAAUACUCCCUCCUGUCAGGGGUUCCCUUUGGAGGCUAAACUUCUUAUCCAAUGGAAUUUUAGUUUAUUUUCUAAGCAACAGCUUCUCAAGUGCAUUCUAUCUGUAAUUAUCACGCAAGCAGGGACCACACAGACUCUGGCAUCCCGAGGGAAAAUUGAGCUAGUUUUCCUGCAUUUUCUAUUCUGACUGAAUGCUAAUGGAGCAGGUGUAAAAAAAUGGCUCCUCAGCCCAACGGUGUGCAAGGCAAGGAGAGACUCUGAGAAUAGCCCCUCUGUAGAAAUGGCUUCGCUUUGGCAGGUAGGGUUUGAAAAGCUGCAAAUGGAGGGGCCAGGAUAUGUCAGGGUCUGUCAAUGUCUGUCAAUGAAUAUUCUGUAUGCACAUUAACCUGGAUGUCUCACUUUAUCCAGUUUUAACAAGGAAAUGCCAAAAGCAUCUUUUUUUGUUUUUGUUUUUUUAAAAAAAAUUAUUUUGAGUCAGGGUUUUACUGUUUAGCUCUGGGUGUCCUAGAACUGGGUAGGUAGAGCAGCUUGGACUCAAAGCUCAAAGUCACAGAGAUCCGCCUGCCUCUAAUUGCUGGGUGCUGGGAUUAAAGGCAUGAAUCAAAUUGCCUGGCCUUUAAACGGGUGUUUAAAGUGACUUGAGGAGCUGAGAGAGUGUUUUCUGCUUUCCCAGAGGACUCAAGUUCAGUUCCAAAACUUCACACCAGGCUAUACCAACCCCAUAUAGAUUUGACAUCCUUUUCUUGAUUCUGUAAGAUACUGCAAACCUACAUAUAUGCAGUUUAAAAUAAUAAAAAUAAAUUAGGUGACUUGAACCCAUAAAAUACAUAAAAGAGUUCUGGGAUGGAGUUCAGUUGGUAGAAGGGUUGCCUAGAAUUCAUAAAGCUCUGAGUUUGUUCCCCAGCAUCAUGUAAAAGUGGGUGGUGGAAGCAGGAAGGAUAAAUAAAUGUUCAUGCUCACCCUUGACUUUGUAGCAAAUUCAAAGCUAGCUUGGGGUACAUGAAACGCUUCUGCCCCCAAAAGAUAUUUUUAAAAAUAAUAAUUUUAGUUUUCAUAUAAUCAUUAUAACUACUGAGAUAGGGCUUACAGUCUUUGCUAUGAAUCCUCACCCACAUGGUGUAUUAACUGCCUAGUUGAGCUCCUUCCCUGCUGUGUGACCACAAGCAAGUCACUUAACAUCUCUGAGGCUCAGUUUGCCUAAGCAUAAAUUAGGACUUCAUAUCUUCAUCUAAAUCUCACCACCUGAGUGAGGCUGUCUGCCCUGAUAGCUGCUCCCCCCAUCCCCCCCCCGCACCCCACCCCUGAUUCCAGCCUGCCCCCCAGCCCGGCGUGUUUGUGUGUCAGCCCAUACCUUGUGCUUAUUCAGUCUGAGUGUUCUUUUCUCCUGGCUUUCCCACAGGGCUGAUUGUCCUCACAGGAUUUUCCCUUGUUCUCUGCAUCUAGACCUAGCGCCUGGUUCAGAAUGGGAGGGAGGAUGUCUGCUGCCCUGUCGUAUCCACACCCGAGGAAUGUCCGUGUUUGUGUGCACAGCAGGCUGCACAGCGGGCUGCACGGUGCUCGAAUGGAGGCCCUAAUGUGAAUGGAGGCUAGCCUGCUGGUAGGGACCUUGGCAGUGACCGCCGUGGGCAAUGAGCCAUGGGCCAACAAUAUUCAAUGCUGUGUACCUGAUGGUCGGUUCCUGUCUGAGACUGAUGCUCUUUGGGUCAGGAAUAAAAGGACUCUGAAGAGUGUGCCUGGCAUUGCUUCAAGACUACAGUGUGGGGAACAUCUGUAGAGAAGGAGGGCAGACAGAGACAUAAGUGGGAAUCAAACUUCACAACCUUGUGGGGAAAGGGGCACCAUCAUGCCCAUAGAAUGAACCACUGGUGGCAGUUUUUGUUAAACGUCGGGUCUUCCUUGCAAGUUCUACAGUUACACUCAGUAUUUACAUGACAUUCCAAGACAUAAGGUCCAUGCUGCUGUAUCCACCAUGUUUAACAAGCAUGCAGACUGAUCCAUGUCACCCUUCUGUCUGCAUCAUGAGGCCCAUGGCUACGCUACUCUCUGGGAGCAUGGUCGGCCAUGAUGAAUAUUGACUCACCCAUUGUUUUCAUGGCUCGGAGGUCCAUUGCUACCCUAUCCCCAUUUGUAGAAAGCAUAGAAACUGAUCUGCACUGCCCAUCUAUGUGGAUCAUGGAGUCCAUGGAUAGUCUAGGGUCUUGGGCACAUAGUAACCAAUGGCUCCAGUGUGCUUGAAAUAUGGCUCCGUGCACAUACACUGACUAUCUACCCUCUGUGCUCACAAGUCCUGUAAUGUGUACCUCCAAACUGAUUCCCACCUUCUCCGCUAGUCAUGUGGUUUGAGAUUCCAUGUUUGUGUCUGCAGGAUUGAGACAGUAAUGUAUACCUCCUAACUGAUUCCCACCUUCUUCGCUAGUCAUGUGGUUUGAGGUUCCAUGUUUGUGUCUGCAGGAUUGAGACAGUAAGGUAUACCACCAAACUGAUUCACACCUUCUUCGCUAGUCAUGAGGUUUGAAGUUCCAUGUUUGUGUCUGCAGGAUUGAGACAGUAAUGUAUACCUCCAAACUGAUUCACACCUUCUUCGCUAGUCAUGAGGUUUGAGCUUCCAUGUUUGUGUCUGCAGGAUUGAGACAGUGUGAGUAUCGUCUGUGUUCUUGGGUUGGAUUUAUUCAUUUACUUAUGGCUUUUAAUGAGUGGUUCCAUGUCCAUUGAUGACCUCUGAAGAGCACCUAUAGCCAAAUGCAUAUGUCAUGCAUAUGAAACACAAUGUUUAAUACAGUUUUACCAAAUUAAGAGUGUGCAUUGAGAGUGAUAAUCAUCGCUGCAGAAGCUCCUUUAGAGGUUGCAAGUACACACAAUGGUCUUGCAAUGAGGUCUUUUUUUUUUUUUUAGUAUGAAUUUUCUCAAUAGUACUAGUGACCAGUUGCUCAAUAAAUGUACCAAAAUUACUGGACAAGAGGAGUGCUGAUGUUGGAUCUAUGAUGACUUAUCUAUCUCAUCUGCGCGUUUGAGUCAUGAAUUAUGACAGGAACUUUGAGUCUGAGGUCAACAUCAGAAAUUGUCUAGUGCAUACUAUGAUCUUAGUGACAUAUGUAAGAAAUAACCUUCUUCUGUAAGUCAGUAAAUAUAAAUAAAAGUUUAUUAGUAAGUUAUUUACAAUCAAAAUGUAGUCCAAGAAUACGAUAUAUAUUUAUGUAUAUAUGUAUAUAUACACAUGUAUAUUAUGUAUGUCGGAAACAUUAUAGUAGCUAUGGCCACUUGUUUUCUCAAGAAGAAAAUGUGACAGAAUGGUGACCACAUAGGUGUGGCUUAAGAUAAAAUGUCUGGAAGAAGGCAGAAUGUAUGGUUGAGAGAACAGACGUCAGUCCUUUUUUAACCUUUUCUGUCUAUACUUCAAGAAUGGAUAUCCUUCCAGCCAACUUCAUACAUUCUCCCUUGAAAAUAAACCUUGUGAUCUAGCCUUUGUGUUCUUGGAUCGACACUGUGUCACCAGGUUCAUGGUCCCUCAUAUGUGUCAGAAGCAUAUUCACCAACCAUAGAUGCUUUCUUCGUGAUAUUCACAUUCUGAUUUCUGAUCACACAGAAAUGGCCAACUUCAGAUCAAUGGGUGGAUCCUACCUCAUCUUAAGCUCCAGGGUUGUAGGGUCACAGCUACAAUCGCUAAGGGAACCCAAUGGAAGACGAGGUGGGAAGAGUGUAAGAGCCAAUUGGAAUGGAAGACUCGGAGGAAACGAGGACCUCACAGAGACUGAGCCUGAUGGGCUCUCAGCACUGACAGGGGACUGGACACAAUUCUAUAUUGAUAACCGAGAAGUUUUCUCCAGUUGAUGAACUCUGUCAAAGGAAAAACUAGUUUUCUCCAAUGGAUUCUCACUGGACAUAUAAACCACCCUUAAGAGCAGGCUCCAUUGCCCAGAUGGCCAACACAUGUUGAACUCUAUGGCACUUUGGGAAGGUUUUGUAACUCACAAUGCUUUGUCUGGGUACUCUUUCAUCCUACAGAUAAUUUCUCUAUAUAUUAUCUUUUCUGAUUGUAUCUUUUUGAUUUUUCUGUGGGUCUAUAUAUAUAUAUAUAUAUAUGUGUGUGUGUGUGUGUGUGUGUGUGUGUGUGUGUGUGUCUCAGUGUCUGUACGCGUUUCUUGUGAUUUGUUGUUGGCUUUUUCUUUCCUGUUCUGCUUUGCUUGUGCUCCUUGGUUGGGGGCUUAGUCCCUGGGAGCUCUGAGGAUCUGGGUGAUUGAUGUUGUUCUUCCUAUGGGGUUGCAAACCCUUUCAGCUCCUUCAGCCUUUCAGUAAGUCCUCCAUUUUGAUCCCCAUGUCAGUCUAUUAUUGGCUGCACACAUACCCCCCCCUGUAUUUGUCAGGCUCUGGCAGAGCCUCUAAAUAGGCAGCUAUGACAGUCUCCUGUCAGCUUUGUUUGUUUUUAUUUCAUCUUCUCCUCCUCCUCUCCCCAUCAUUUUAGAUGACUGUUUUUAUUCUAAUAUAAGAAUGAAUGAAUGGGUGUGGGUAUGGGUGGGUAGGAAAUGGGGAGGAUGGGAGGUGUUAGGGGAGGGAUACCUAAUACAAAUACAUUGUAUAAAGAUACAUUUUAAUAAAAAUGUAUUUCCUCUACAACUAAAAAAA